rnacentral:misc_RNA from 1 species
AAGUCGUAACAAGGUUUCCGUAGGUGAACCUGCGGAAGGAUCAUUAACAAUCCAACCUUAGAUGUCCGCAAGGACGUCUUCUACACCAUGUGAACUGUUUUUGCUAGCCAAUUCUCGGAUUGGCUGUUGUAUAUGCUGUAAUGACCGACUUGAAUCUGGGGUUAAAGCCAGAAUCGUCGUGCUCUUGCAGUAUAGAAAGCAGCCGGCUGGGAAUGGGCGAACCUGCAUUGGGUUUCGGCUUAAUGUGGGUAAUAAACCAUUCAACUUAUCUGUUUUAAACUUGUUUGCGGCCGAAAGGCGGAACUUAAUUUAAAUACAACUUUCAACAACGGAUCUCUUGGCUCUC